CAAUAGCGUAUAUUUAAGUUGUUGCAGUUAAAAAGCUCGUAGUUGGAUUUCGGAUGGGACUUGCCGGUCCGUCGUUUCGAUGUGCACUGGCCAGUCCUAUCUUGUUGUCGGGGACUAGCUCCUGGGCUUCACUGUCCGGGACUAGGAGCUGACGAGGUUACUUUGAGUAAAUUAGAGUGUUCAAAGCAAGCCUACGCUCUGAAUACAUUAGCAUGGAAUAACACGAUAGGACUCUGGCUUAUCUUGUUGGUCUGUGAGACCAGAGUAAUGAUUAAGAGGGACAGUCGGGGGCAUUCGUAUUCCAUUGUCAGAGGUGAAAUUCUUAGAUUUAUGGAAGACGAACAUCUGCGAAAGCAUUUGCCAAGGAUGUUUUCAUUGA
rnacentral:rRNA from 1 species